GCUGUCAAGUGCAGUGUGGCUGGGAAGCAGGUUAGCAGAACUGUAUUUGGUCCGUUAUGCUCACUUCAAAAUCUAUUAUCUAUUGUUGUGGUUAAAGCAUCAUUAUUUACUGCUGCUUUUCUACUUGGUGCAAAUGCUUGUACAAGAUGGGAAAAUGAGCACAUGAAUUUACAUGCACUUGAAGGCUGAAUUCAACUAUUCUCACGCUAUUCAAGGAUUACUUGAAUUUCAGUUCAGAUUCAGAUGUCUCAGGACUGUCUUUGAUAAUAUCACAAGAACUUCAAACCCUACAGGGGAUCAGAUUCUGGAAGAUCUUUCCAAAAGAAGCUGUGGAGUCUACUGCAGAUACUCAAAAUCUUGAAGAGCUCCCUCUGCUUUAAACAGCAGAAACAGAACAACACCACUGGAAAAAGAAAAUUGGAAAAGAAGGGAGAAAUGAAAUAUAAAUAAAUAAAUAGGUCAGAAUUCCUAACUCUUAACUCUUUAAAUUAUUUACUGGGAUCAUAGCUAGUUUAGGGAAUAUAAAAAUAUGGAACCUUAGAAGUGUGUUGAGUUGGGUAGAGUGAAGUGAGUUUAAAAGUAAAUAUAAGUUCAGUAAUGUUAAUUAAUCUCAAUAACAUGAUGCUCUAAUACAUUAGCUAUACAUUCUUUUGAUUUGAGAAUUCAAAAUAUCAUCUAUUCCUUAUAAGGAUGUCCUCAAUGAUUCUGCUAUGAAUUUGUUUCUUAUACAGUGAUAACUAAAGCUUUAUGUUGUUCCUAAAGAAUCACAGCAAUUGUUAUCUAAAAUGAUAACCGCAAUUACAUUCUGUGAACCAAAGUACAGUUUAUUCUUUG
ensembl:lncRNA